AUUAAGUUGGCUUUAUUUUAAUUUCAGCAAUAAUAAAACAACACCUCAAAAUGUGGCAAAAAUGAACACAUUGAAAAAAAAUGUAGAAGCUCCAGYUUUUAGAACCAGAAGGAGUGGGCUACGUGGUUGUAAAUAUAAUUCCACGAACAAGACAACCWGUUACACUCGGUCACGUUCAACAACAGAUCAGCCGCUUGAGGAGGACAAGUGAGAUUAAUUUUUAUAUUAUUUUUAAUUAUAAAUCAUAUUAUUACCCUUUAAUAGGACGUCRUACUCACUUGUCUCAAAGUGUUAUUCAUGCUUAAGAUAAAA